rnacentral:rRNA from 1 species
GAUGAACGCUGGCGGCGUGCCUAAUACAUGCAAGUCGAGCGAACGGACGAGAAGCUUGCUUUUCUGAUGUUAGCGGCGGACGGGUGAGUAACACGUGGAUAACCUACCUAUAAGACUGGGAUAACUUCGGGAAACCGGAGCUAAUACCGGAUAAUAUUUUGUACCGCAUGGUUCAAAAGUUAAAGACGGUCUUGCUGUCACUUAUAGAUGGAUCCGCGCUGCAUUAGCUAGUUGGUAAGGUAAAGGCUUACCAAGGCAACGAUGCAUAGCCGACCUGAGAGGGUGAUCGGCCACACUGGAACUGAGACACGGUCCAGACUCCUACGGGAGGCAGCAGUAGGGAAUCUUCCGCAAUGGGCGAAAGCCUGACGGAGCAACGCCGCGUGAGUGAUGAAGGUCUUCGGAUCGUAAAACUCUGUUAUUAGGGAAGAACAUAUGUGUAAGUAACUGUGCACAUCUUGACGGUACCUAAUCAGAAAGCCACGGCUAACUACGUG